GGUCUUCCCAUUCAUAUAAAGAAGGCAGUUGCACAUUCACUUGGCUAUUAAAAGAUUGGUUUCCAGUUGCAUAUCCUGAAUUGUUCACUUGCGCAGCUGGUAGAUUCUGAUAAUAUUGCAUGUUGAUGGCAUCUUGAAACGAGCAAAUCUGUAUCUCACAGUUUGGAUUUGAGGUUGUUUGUGAGCUUCCAUGACUAGCAAUACCAACUGUGAGAUUAGCCAUUUGAUGCCCGAGAAUUUCUAUCUCCUCUUGUAAGCUGGCUAUCUGCAAGACAAGUUGAAAGGAUGUAUAAAUUUGUGUUGAGUUAAACCGACUUAAAUUCUAGGUCAAUUGUACAGAUGUUGAGGCUGUUGGAGAAAGAACAUAGAAACCUGUUGUUGGAGUGCAAAAAUAUGAGCAACACAGCCGUAUAUGGGAUCCCGCAUCCGAGCCAGUGCUUCAUAAGAUAUGGUGAUAGCAGCAUCACUUCGACUCUGUACUGGCAGGUGUAAUAAUAGCUUUGAAACAUUGCUUGCACCAAACACCUUGUGCACUGCUAGGAAGUGGGUUGCAGCCUGGUCAUAACUGAAGUAAGGUGCAAACACACAUUCACUCGUGCACUUUCUUCUGAGGAACUUGCAUGCUCCACAUGAAGAGCCCGGCCCUGUCAUUGUCCUAUGCUUUUUCAAUUAUCUGUGUCAAGUUGAUUUUGCUUGUACUAGGGCUGGUUUGUGUAGGAACUAGUGUUGAGAUUUUCUCUUUAUAAUCAUCGCUUACAAGUGUCAUAAGCCCUUUUUGUUGUGGCCAAGAGACAUUCCUCACUUUUCUUAAAAGUAGGUUUCUUUUGGGUCUCCCUCAUGGGCUACAGUUGUCAUUCUCAAACUGGGUAAGCUUUCCUAAUUUAUGCAUGCUUUUUUUCAUUAAUAUAGAC
rnacentral:misc_RNA from 1 species